rnacentral:tRNA from 2 species
GCCCUGGUAGCUCAGUUGGGAGAGCACCAGGCUGAAGACCUGGGUGUCCCCGGUUCAAGUCCGGGCCAGGGCA